AGAAUCCCUGGGGUUGGCCGGCGGAGGAAGGGAAUGGUUCAGGAUUGGCCGAGUGUGUUUUCAGAUUGUUCACUGCUUUUCCCCAGAAUGCCAGGUGAUGUGUCAUCCCAA
rnacentral:pre_miRNA from 1 species